rnacentral:rRNA from 1 species
CCUACGGGCGGCAGCAGUGGGGAAUAUUGCACAAUGGGGGAAACCCUGAUGCAGCGACGCCGCGUGAGUGAAGAAGUAUCUCGGUACGUAAAGCUCUAUCAGCAGGGAAGAAAAUGACGGUACCUGACUAAGAAGCCCCGGCUAACUACGUGCCAGCAGCCGCGGUAAUACGUAGGGGGCAGGCGUUAUCCGGAUUUACUGGGUGUAAAGGGAGCGUAGACGGCAGCACAAGUCUGUAGUGAAAUCCCGGGGCUGAACCCCGGAACUGCUUGUGAAACUGUGCGGCUGGAGUGCAGGAGGGGUAAGCGGAAUUCCUAGUGUAGCGGUGACAGGCGUAGAUAUUAGGAAGAA